rnacentral:rRNA from 1 species
GUACGGAACGAAACGGCCCUCAAAAAGAGGGCUAAUGACGGUACCGUAAGAAAAGCACCGGCUAACUACGUGCCAGCAGCCGCGGUAAUACGUAGGGUGCAAGCGUUAAUCGGAAUUACUGGGCGUAAAGCGUGCGCAGGCGGUUAUGUAAGACAGUUGUGAAAUCCCCGGGCUCAACCUGGGAAUUGCAUCUGUGACUGCAUAGCUUGAGUACGGUAGAGGGGGACGGAACCCGCGUGUAGCAGUGAAAUGCGUAGAUAUGCGGAGGAACACCGAGGCGAAGGCAAUCCCCUGGACCUGUACUGACGCUCAUGCACGAAAGCGUGGGGAGCAAACAGGAUUAGAUACCCUGGUAGUCCACGCCCUAAACGAUGUCAACUGGUUGUUGGGUCUUCACUGACUCAGUAACGAAGCCUACGCGUGAAGUUGACCGCCUGGGGAGUACGGCCGCAAGGUUGUAACUCUAAGGAAUUGACGGGGACCCGCACAAGCGGUGGAUGAUGUGGUUUAACUCUAUGCAACGCGAAAAAACCUUACCCACCUUUGACAUGUACGGAAUUUUCCAGAG